rnacentral:misc_RNA from 1 species
UGAGCGUGAUUUCCAUCCAAUGCCGCUGUGCCUCAUAGUCACCAAACUUGGGGGGAUUGCCGGCGCCAGAGUAUGGAUGGAGUGAUACAGUUGCUCGAACUAACAACCCAAACACAGCAAUACACAGGAAUGANNNNNNNNNUGAACAAACCACCAGCACAAAUCAUCAUCAUCGUUAACAGCAUCUGCCUUGUCUUUUAGCACCUUCUUUUUCCCCUUUUUCUCCAUUUAUGUUUCUCUCUAGUCUCGCCUGGUUACAAUGAACAUUAAGAAACCAUCUUUAUCAAGAGUCUGAAAAUCAGCAUUCAAAAG